CAAGGUGCUGCAUGGUUGUCGUCAGCUCGUGCCGUGAGGUGUCCGGGUUAAGUCCCAUAACGAGCGCAACCCUUACCGUUAGUUGCCAUCGGGGUCAAGCCGGGGACUCUAGCGGGACUGCCACCGUAAGGUGAGAGGAAGGUGGGGAUGACGUCAAAUCAGCACGGCCCUUAUGUCCAGGGCUACACACGUGUUACAAUGGCCGGUACAGAGGGCAGCUACCUGGUGACAGGAUGCUAAUCCCGAAAGCCGGUCCCAGUUCGGAUUGGAGUCUGCAACCCGACUCCAUGAAGUUGGAUUCGCUAGUAAUCGCGCAUCAGCCAUGGCGCGGUGAAUACGUUCCCGGGCCUU
rnacentral:rRNA from 1 species